UGGUAUCCUUUUUUAACCAUGACUCAAAAAUAUUGUUGGUGUUUGUGUCUGAAACUAUAUAAUUUUUUCUUAGUCCUGUUGUGUUAUCAGUAGUUUCCUCCUCCUCCUCCCUUAUGUCCGGACCUUCUGUUAGCAUUGUGUGGUUAGUGAGAGGGAAAAUCACUAAAUGGCAGCCCUCGACUCUUUGCUGCAACUGAAAUUCAUUGUCUCAAUUUCAUUCAAAGUCAUUUUAGCAAAGAUCAUAUUGUUGAGUUCCAUGGCAUUUGUGUUUUUCAGUUAGGACUUUGAUGAGAAUAGGUCAAACAAAGCUGCCCACAUGUAUAUAUUUCUUUCUCAUAUGAUGUAAGGUCAUUGUGGAUCAUCCAUUCCUUGGUAAGAGAUUAGAGAUGGAAGCUUUUCAUCUGAGAGAUGAGUUUCCCCCCCUGGCGAUCUCAAAGCUUGAUAUGCCAACAUUGAUUCCCAGUUAGAAACUCUAGUCAUGGACCUACUCAGCCCAACCAAACCACCGUGUUGCUUGUCUUAGCAAAGAUGUUCAGCUUUUCUCGGUAUGUUUGUUUAGUCGGUUUGACCCUCAGUUGAAAAGUCAAAACGUUAGGGUUGGUACCUCCGUUUGAGCUGAAGAAUGUCGAGGUAAUAUAUCAAGUUCAACGUAAUUAUACAAUCUUGAAGCAAUUCGAUUCAUGUUCAUGUUGUUAAAAUCUGCAGCUCUGGGGAUUUGCGCAUGCGUCUCAGUACCUCUCCUCCUGAUCUUAGACGAGAAUUGAUAUACAUCAAAAGGAAGCUUACUCAUCUUUUUUAAUCCAUUAAUUGUUUUUCAGAAGUUAUGAUUAGGCUAAGACAGUUUUGAGGGUUUACAUGAUUUGUAU
rnacentral:lncRNA from 1 species